rnacentral:rRNA from 1 species
AACGUAGGUGGCGAGCGUUAUCCGGAUUUACUGGGCGUAAAGGGUGUGCAGGCGGGCUGUUAAGUGGGGUAUGAAAUAUCCCGGCUCAACCGGGAGAGGUUAUGCCAGACUGGCAGUCUAGAGAGCGAGAGAGGGACGUGGAAUUCCGGGUGUAGUGGUGAAAUGCGUAGAUAUCCGGAGGAACACCAGUGGCGAAGGCGGCAUCCUGGACCGACACUGACGCUGAGGCGCGAAAGCUAGGGGAGCAAACGGG